rnacentral:rRNA from 1 species
GCAUAUCAAUAAGCGGAGGAAAAGAAACCAACAGGGAUUGCCCUAGUAACGGCGAGUGAAGCGGCAACAGCUCAAAUUUGAAAUCUGGCUACCUUGUAGUCCGAGUUGUAAUUUGUAGAGGAUGCUUUUGGUGAGGUGCUUUCUGAGUUCCCUGGAACGGGACGCCAGAGAGGGUGAGAGCCCCGUACAGUUAGCAACUGAUCCUUUGUAUAGCUCCUUCGACGAGUCGAGUAGUUUGGGAAUGCUGCUCUAAAUGGGAGGUAUAUCUCUUCUAAAGCUAAAUAUAGGCUAGAGACCGAUAGCGCACAAGUAGAGUGAUCGAAAGAUGAAAAGCACUUUGAAAAGAGAGUUAAACAGCACGUGAAAUUGUUGAAAGGGAAGCGCCUAUGACCAGACUUGUUUCUAUCAGUUUUGGUAGUUUUCGGACUGCUUUACUCUGUUAGUACAGGCCAACAUCAGUUUGUUGUCGGGGAGAAAGGCUUAGGGAAUGUGGCUCCCUCGGGAGUGUUAUAGACCUUUGCAUAAUACCCUUUGGCAGACUGAGGACCGCGCUUCGGCAAGGAUGUUGGCGUAAUGGUCAUCAGCGACCCGUCUUGAAACACGGACC